UCACAUCACGUUGAAACACCAGUUACCAUACGAUCACCAAAGUUAAGCAACGUCGAUCCUGGUCAAUACCUAGAUGAGUGACCGCUUCGGAAUAAAAGGUGUUGUAAG